UCAUUACCGAAUAAAGCGUACUUAUAUGCCUGUUGAAAAAUCGAUGGACAACCAAAAAAUUUAACCUUUUCAGCUAAUAGUAGCUAUUUACCGUCAAUUUGACUAUUGGAUAUUUGGCGAAGUAUCUACAAAAGGUGAAAGGUAUACAACAGUGGUAUAUACCUCAGCAAGCGCUUGUAAAUUGUCAACUCGACUGGCAAUCUUUGCGAAAGAUGAAUGAUGCCAUUGCCGAUGGUGUAUGGUCGCUACGUCGGUUGGCCAGUCGGGUUUUUUUUCGAAAGAGUGUGUAAUUCAUGCUUUAUACACUACGAAAUCAGAGAACUUUUAAGUAGCUGUGAAGGAAGCAUAUGAGACAAUAGCAUUUGUGGGAUGGGCUCUACUAUGCUGAAGAUGCGUAGAAACAUAAGUGUAGAAAUAGUUAAGUGCUUGGGGCUGUGACUGGAGUGACUUGUAAACAAGUGACUAUUACCAGCGAUAAGAGAUGAGCAAUGCAUCAUUCAUAUGAAAUCAUAUUGUAUGUGUAUGUGUAUGAAUAUCAGUGCUAUGUAAACGAAAUCGAAAUCGAACACGAAUAUUAUAAAAUUAUAUUAAUUUAGAUGAAUUGCAAAUCGAAAUUAAAUAUUGCUUACUUUCGCUUAAAGUGUGAGAUAUGAAAAA